UCAGACAAACCCUAGUCUGACUGCAUUAAAUUUUCUGGCAGUUGAGCGGCCUGAGACAAAUAGGGCGGACUUCAAGAAGGACGUCGGGAAUAAAUUCUUCAGCAUCCAUAGAACGAGUGAGAGUGAAGACAGUGAUUCAGAAGAAGGACUGAAUGGUCUCAGUCUGCAGGACAGAUGUCGGAGGACAGUGAUGAAGAUGGCAUGUUCUCACCU